rnacentral:rRNA from 1 species
AGAGUUUGAUUCUGGCUCAGGAUGAACGCUGGCGGCAGGCUUAAUACAUGCAAGUCGAACGGUAAGGCCGAGUGCAGCAAUGCACGAGGUACACGAGUGGCGCACGGGUGCGUAACGCGUAUGCAACCUGCCCCUAACCGGGACAAAACAGCUGGAAACGGCUGCUAAUAUCCCAUGGUCACUUGGGAGGGCAUCCUCCUGCGUGCAAAGAUUCAUUGGUUAGGGAUGGGCAUGCGUAUUAUUAGGUAGUUGGCGGGGUAACGGCCCACUAAGCCGACGAUGAUUAGGGGUCCUGAGAGGGUUAACCCCCCACACUGGAACUGAGACACGGUCCAGACUCCUACGGGAGGCAGCAGUAGGGAAUAUUGGGCAAUGGGAGCAAUCCUGACCCAGGCAUGCCGCGUGAAGGAAGACGGCCCUAUGGGUUGUAAACUUCUUUUGCCGCAGAGUAAACCCGGUCACGUGUGGCCGGUUGAGAGUAUGCGGCGAAUAAGUAUCGGCUAACUCCGUGCCAGCCGCCGC